AAUGCCUAGGAAUCGUGCCUAGUGGUGGGGGAUAACGUUCGGAAACGGACGCUAAUACCGCAUACGUCCUACGGGNGAAAGCGGGGGGAUCUUCGGACCUCGCGCCAUUAGAUGAGCCUAGGUCGGAUUAGCUAGUUGGUGAGGUAAUGGCUCACCAAGGCGACGAUCCGUAACUGGCUGAGAGGAUGAUCAGUCACACUGGAACUGAGACACGGUCCAGACUCCUACGGGAGGCAGCAGUGGGGAAUAUUGGACAAUGGGCGAAAGCCUGAUCCAGCCAUGCCGCGUGUGUGAAGAAGGUCUUCGGAUUGUAAAGCACUUUAAGUUGGGAGGAAGGGUAGUAACCUAAUACGUUGCUACUUUGACGUUACCGACAGAAUAAGCACCGGCUAACUUCGUG
rnacentral:rRNA from 1 species